GUUCCUUUGGAGACAUUUUAUAAAAUUGGAACGAUACAGGAAAAAUUAGCAUAAUUUCUGCACAAAAUUGACACACAUAAAUCAAGAAUGACAUUUUAUGAUA